GACGGUUUUUUUUUACGUGAAUAUGCAAAAAUGAAAUAAUUCAACAACAGUUUUGUACACAUAUUUUUUUAUAUAUUGGGCACCCAACCUGGGACUGAGCAACUCCAAUUCCCUCCAUAAGUUGGAAUGGCCAAUCAUUAGAACCCAGAAAACUACAGCGAAAACUACUCUCAUAGAGUGGUGUCAGAGGAAGACCUGUCAUAUGUGGCUUUGACCUGCAGUCCAUGGGUGCCUGAUUGACCCGCGGAGGUCGCUAGAGAACAAUGAAAUGAGGACCCCCUAACCAGUCGACCCCUCCCACACCCUGGACAACGCAACCACCCCAUUGCAUGUUGCCCUACGGAUCUACCAGCCACAGCCGCCACUGGCACAGAACGGAUCCAACCUGAGACCCUGGGGUAAGAAAAGUCAUGAGACGUAAUGACAGAACCAGGAACAGAUUCUGCAUGGAGGGACAACAGGAAGGAAAAAUACACUGAUCCUAGGGUUCUUUCUACUGAAAGGCCAUUGUUUCCAGGAGUAACACGUGUUCGCCAGCGAGACACUGUCCUGUCUCGACACAGAGGAGACUAAGAAGGGCGGAGCUGCUGAGGAUGACAUCACCGCUUCACCAAAAUCUUCCCUAAAAGCUCAGAACAACCAGAAAGAACCAGCAACAGUAAGCUCCAAUUCCCAACCUCCUACCCCCAAGACUGAAGUAGUAGCAGCAAUGGUAGCAGCAGUAGUAUUAUUAGUAGACCUAUUAGUAGACCUAUAAGCAUAUUUUUUCUGCUGUUCAUUAAUUUAAUUUUUGUUCUGUCAAUGGGCCAAUGUAGUCAUUUGAGGCGGGCUGGUGUAAGCUUGCACUGGCCUACUCUACAUUACUAAAUGAAGCAAAUCCACUUUAGGUUUAAGUGGUUCCAGUUGACGCAGGGUAUUGCAACACUCAAGCAGAGAAAAGGAUCUGCGAAACAGAUGGGAAUAUAUAGAGAAGGCCUGCAUCCAAUACUUUUAUAGGCGGGUCAGCUUUCUGUGUGCAGCUUGACAGUUUCCUGAAAUUCAAGUAAAAAUAAUGUCUCACUGAA